rnacentral:lncRNA from 1 species
AGCCUCUGUGGACCAGAUCCCUCUCAACUGAUCGGGUGCAGGCUGGGCUGCAGGCGGGUGAGUAGCUAUGCGAAACGCAUACAGCUGACUUAGGAGGUCCAGCCAGGGGGCCUCACUCAGCUGCUUCAAAGUGCUUCAAAGGAAGAAAAACCCCCAAAUGGGUCCAGGAUACUGAAUCUAGAGAGCUGCUUGGAGGAGAGGGGCAAGCCCAUCACUGGGGCUCAGACUCUUGAGUUGCAUGAGAUGGGAAAGGAGCCUGCUCCCCAGAGACACACCAGCAUCCUCCUGGCCAGCAAUCCUGGGCUGGUUUCUCAAUGUUCCCAGGUCCUCUCCAGGAAGUUAGGGUCCUCUUCCUACCUUCCCCGCCUCCUCUCUUUCUUCACUUUUUUUUCCCUUUGUUCUCUCUCUUUCCUCCUCCCCCUUCCUCUACAGCUCUUCUAUCCUGGCUGCCUGGGCUCCCAGAAGAUUUCAGGGACCACAGGACAGUGACCUCGCACUGCACAUGGAGAGCACUGGCCCCUGACACGCUUUCCCCGACCUCUGCCCUUCUUGUAACUCGCUCUCCUGGGCUGGACCCCUGGGGGGUCAGAUUUCUGACAGUUGCCAGAAAUCUGCUCUUCUGUGUGCCCUGGAGGAAGAAAACCUAAGGGUGAAAGUGCUGGGGGGUAGAGAGCGGGGUGUGGGGUGGCCUGGAGGCUCUAAUUUAACCUGGAGCCCCCUGCUUUCUGUGGCCCCACUUGGGGAGACUUGGACCCCUGCUUUGGGGAGACUUGGACCCCUGCUUUGGGGAGAGCAAAACCUGGCCCCUCUCUAACCGCAAGCCCAAGCCCCCUGCAGCAUCCCUGGUCCAGUAAGCCCUAAUGCCCGGGCCUCUGUGGCCAUUCUCUCGCUCUUUUUUUUUUUUUUGAGACAGAGUCUCGCUCUGUCGCCAGGCUGGAGUGCAGUGGCGCGAUCUCGGCUCACUACAACCUCCACCUCCCGGGUUCAAGAUAAAAGCUCUCCACUGUCCUCAGUUUCUCUUGGAAAGCCCAGUUCUGUUUGCAAUCAGAUGGCACACAGUAAAGACACUUUGGUGCAGGUCCAUGUUUCCUUCCCCGCGGGCGGUGGUGUGUAGGGUCGGGAAUUUCCACGUCCCAGCUGGGCUGCACCUCAGGAAGCCUGAAACACUGGCAGGAGGUGAAGACACCGUGUCGGGGGUCUGAGGGCUGGAUGAUUAUUACCCCUCUGUCAAAACACAAAAUUAUGACAAAUUUAGUUAAAUGAUGUAAUUGGCUUUUAUUUGUGACUUAUGAAGCUGGGUAGCAUUUUUCUCUAAAAACUGAGAAAAAGUGCUCCAAUGAGCUGAGCAGAGGAGGUUGGCUUUACAGGCAGAAAAGGGCUGAAGAAAGCAGAAUCAGAACAAAAAGCAACCAGUUAGCAUCAGGUAACUUCAGUUAACUUUCUUUGUAAAGGUUAAAGCAGAGGGGACUUCUUAUCAUGCUGGCUAAAACUGGCCUAUCUGGGGAUUUGGCUAUUAUCUUUCUCUCUCUCCUGUUUUCUUGGAAGGUCAGAUAAACAACUUAGUUUCAGUUUGGUGACAUCAAACUUUAGCAUAAGUGACACCAUUUUGGUUUGUUCUGUUAAGCCUAGAGCAGGAGGUCAGUCCAAAUCAAUGACCUCCAAUAAAUUUUGUUUAAUACCACUAAUAGCAGUUGCAUUUUUCAAAGACCUUGGGCUGGAGGUGCCCUCUAAAAUAGCACCUGACAGACCGGGCACAGUGGCUCACGCCUGUAAUCCCAGCACUUUGGGAGGCCAAGGCGAGCAGAUCACCUGAGGUCAGGAGUU